rnacentral:rRNA from 1 species
GACGUAGGGCGCGAGCGUUGUCCGGAUUUAUUGGGCGUAAAGCGCGUGUAGGCGGCUAGGUAAGUCUGCUCUGAAAGCCCGGGGCUCAACCCCGGGAGGCGGGUGGAUACUGUCUAGCUCGAGUCCGGAAGAGGAGUGUGGAAUUCCUGGUGUAGCGGUGAAAUGCGCAGAUAUCAGGAGGAACACCAAUGGCGAAGGCAGCACUCUGGGACGUGACUGACGCUGAGACGCGAAAGCGUGGGGAGCAAACAGG